UUUAAUAUAUAUAUAUUCCAACUAAACCAAUAUCAACUGAUGUAUUAGGCAACAAACUAGGCGAUAUACAUAGGUUAAAAUAAAAAACUCAAGAUCCGAAGAAUCAAUUCGACUUCAGGCCCAAAUAUUUCAUUUUGGCGGUUACAUGGAUGAUGAUAGGCAAGGAAUUUGUGAAGCACUAUUUACUAAUUGUGCAAGGCACAUGCCAAGGUUCUAAAAACGCCCCCGGACUAUUUUCCAAAGUUGCCUACAUAAACCUUAUAGAAGCAAUGCAUAAAAAAAUUGUGACUUCCCCAAAACAAAGGAGAAAGGACAUCUUUAUGGCAAGAGGCCCCCAUCAACAUCCAACUUAAAGCUCUUGUAUCUUUAUCCUAACAAUGAACCAACAUAAGAGUCCCAUUUAAGGUGUUUCUCUACCAUACAUGCUUUUCUCAAAUCAUUUGAUGCUACUGUUGAUUAUUAUAACAGGAAAUCCCAAAUUGUAAAGGAACGUGCAACAGGGUUGGUGCUAGCAUGACGAUAACAUGCACUAACUAGGGUAUCGAACCAAUACCUGGUUGGGAGGUAUAAGAGAUGUCCAUAUUAAGUGAUCCACUAUAUAAACUUCC